AGAGUUUGAUCCUGGCUCAGGACGAACGCUGGCGGCGCGCCUAACACAUGCAAGUCGAACGAGCGAGAGAGAGCUUGCUUUCUCGAGCGAGUGGCGAACGGGUGAGUAACGCGUGAGGAACCUGCCUCAAAGAGGGGGACAACAGUUGGAAACGACUGCUAAUACCGCAUAAGCCCACGGCUCGGCAUCGAGCAGAGGGAAAAGGAGCAAUCCGCUUUGAGAUGGCCUCGCGUCCGAUUAGCUAGUUGGUGAGGUAACGGCCCACCAAGGCGACGAUCGGUAGCCGGACUGAGAGGUUGAACGGCCACAUUGGGACUGAGACACGGCCCAGACUCCUACGGGAGGCAGCAGUGGGGAAUAUUGCACAAUGGGGGAAACCCUGAUGCAGCGACGCCGCGUGGAGGAAGAAGGUCUUCGGAUUGUAAACUCCUGUUGUUGAGGAAGAUAAUGACGGUACUCAACAAGGAAGUGACGGCUAACUACGUGCCAGCAGCCGCGGUAAAACGUAGGUCACAAGCGUUGUCCGGAAUUACUGGGUGUAAAGGGAGCGCAGGCGGGAAGACAAGUUGGAAGUGAAAUCCAUGGGCUCAACCCAUGAACUGCUUUCAAAACUGUUUUUCUUGAGUAGUGCAGAGGUAGGCGGAAUUCCCGGUGUAGCGGUGGAAUGCGUAGAUAUCGGGAGGAACACCAGUGGCGAAGGCGGCCUACUGGGCACCAACUGACGCUGAGGCUCGAAAGUGUGGGUAGCAAACAGGAUUAGAUACCCUGGUAGUCCACACUGUAAACGAUGAUUACUAGGUGUUGGAGGAUUGACCCCUUCAGUGCCGCAGUUAACACAAUAAGUAAUCCACCUGGGGAGUACGACCGCAAGGUUGAAACUCAAAGGAAUUGACGGGGGCCCGCACAAGCAGUGGAGUAUGUGGUUUAAUUCGA
rnacentral:rRNA from 1 species